GACGAACGCUGGCGGCGUGCCUAAUACAUGCAAGUAGAACGCUGAAGGAGGAGCUUGCUUCUCUGGAUGAGUUGCGAACGGGUGAGUAACGCGUAGGGAACCUGCCUGGUAGCGGGGGAUAACUAUUGGAAACGAUAGCUAAUACCGCAUAAUAGCAGUUGUUGCAUGACAACUGUUUGAAAGGUGCAAUUGCACCACUACCAGAUGGGCCUGCGUUGUAUUAGCUAGUUGGUGGGGUAACGGCUCACCAAGGCGACGAUACAUAGCCGACCUGAGAGGGUGAUCGGCCACACUGGGACUGAGACACGGCCCAGACUCCUACGGGAGGCAGCAGUAGGGAAUCUUCGGCAAUGGACGGAAGUCUGACCGAGCAACGCCGCGUGAGUGAAGAAGGUUUUCGGAUCGUAAAGCUCUGUUGUAAGAGAAGAACGAGUGUGAGAGUGGAAAGUUCACACUGUGACGGUAUCUUACCAGAAAGAGACGGCUAACUACGUG
rnacentral:rRNA from 1 species